CAGAGGAGGAUGUGUGGUUUGGUACCUUUGAACCUUUUUCCAUGAAGCAAUAGGUUGGAGCAAAGUCAUCAACAUAUUCAUCAGUGUAGUUGACGUUGUCAUUUUCUUCAAGGUUGAAGAUUGACUUGCUGACGAAUGUGGUAGCAAGUGCAAGACUUGCCACACCAAACUCUGACUCCACUUGAGAACCUUCCUCUUCAUCACAUUCCUCAGAUUCUUCUUCAGAAUCCAUUUCUUUGCCAAUGAGUGCCCGAGCCUUUCUGAAG
rnacentral:lncRNA from 1 species